UCUCUCUCUCUCUCUCUCUCUCUCUCUCUCUCUCUCAGGUAAACCAUAGAGGGUAAAACACCUGCUAUGACAGGACUGGACAUGCUUAUUGCAGUGGACAACAUAUCUGACAGUUUCUUUGACAAACAGCAGCUGACAAUCUCGUAACGCAUGCGUCUCUUCCUCCCGAAAUGAUCCAAGUUCAAGGUGCUGAUGUUUCAUUGAAGUGAUGCGAGAUACCCCAAGAGCCUGUCGCAGUGCAGUAAGUGGACAUGGCCACACAUAUCUCCAGAUGCUUGCUGUGACCACCCCACCAUACCAGACACACCCCCUCCAGCUUCAGACUCCCUCCACCACCAAAAAUUGAACGGUAGGCUCAACAUUUACACACAGACCUCUCUUAAUUCAUUGUAAUGAGCAGGUUUGCGACAG